rnacentral:misc_RNA from 1 species
CAGAGUUGCAAAACUCCCACAAACCAUCGCGAAUCUUACCCGUACGGUUGCCUCGGCGCUGGCGGUCCGGAAGGCCCUCGGGCCCCCCGGAUCCUCGGGUCUCCCGCUCGCGGGAGGCUGCCCGCCGGAGUGCCGAAACCAAACUCUUGAUAUUUUAUGUCUCUCUGAGUAAACUUUUAAUAAGUCA